rnacentral:siRNA from 1 species
CCGCGGAUCGCGCUCUACCUA